GGGAUCAUUACUGAGUUAUCCAACUCCCAAACCCCUGUGAACAUACCUAUGUUGCUUCGGCGGGUCGUCCCGCGGCGCGCCCUCGCGGCGUGACCCGGACCCAGGCGCCCGCCGGGGAACCAAACUCUUGUCUUCCAGUGUCUCCUCUGAGUGGCAUAAGCAAAAAUAAACAAAACUUUCAGCAACGGAUCUCUUGGUUCUGGCAUCGAUGAAGAACGCAGCGAAAUGCGAUAAGUAAUGUGAAUUGCAGAAUUCAGUGAAUCAUCGAAUCUUUGAACGCACAUUGCGCCCGCCAGUAUUCUGGCGGGCAUGCCUGUCUGAGCGUCAUUUCAACCCUCAGCCCCCGUUCGCGGGGCGCUGGCGUUGGGGCCCGGCCGUCCUCGCGGCGGCUGUCCCCGAAACACAGUGGCGGUCUCCCGCAGACUCCCCUGCGUAGUAGCACUACCUCGCAGAAGGGACGAGCGGGCUGGCCACGCCGUAAAACACCCCACUUCUCCAGGUUGACCUCAGAUCAGGUAGGAAUACCCGCUGAACUUAAGCAUAUCAAUAAGCGGAGGAAAAAGAAACCAACAGGGAUUGCCC
rnacentral:rRNA from 1 species